GGUUAAGCGACUAAGCGUACACGGUGGAUGCCCUGGCAGUCAGAGGCGAUGAAGGACGUGCUAAUCUGCGAAAAGCGCCGGCGAGGUGAUAUGAACCCUUGACCCGGCGAUGUCCGAAUGGGGAAACCCAGUGUGUUCCGACACACUAUCGUUAACUGAAUACAUAGGUUAACGAGGCGAACCGGGGGAACUGAAACAUCUAAGUACCCCGAGGAAAAGAAAUCAACCGAGAUUCCCCCAGUAGCGGCGAGCGAACGGGGAGCAGCCCGGAGUCUGAAUCAGCUUGUGUGUUAGUGGAACGGUCUGGAAAGUCCGACGGUACAGGGUGAUAGUCCCGUACACGAAAAUGCACAGGUUGUGAACUCGAAGAGUAGGGCGGGACACGUGGUAUCCUGUCUGAAUAUGGGGGGACCAUCCUCCAAGGCUAAAUACUCCUGACUGACCGAUAGUGAACCAGUACCGUGAGGGAAAGGCGAAAAGAACCCCGGCGAGGGGAGUGAAAAAGAACCUGAAACCGUGUACGUACAAGCAGUGGGAGCACCUUCGGGUGUGACUGCGUACCUUUUGUAUAAUGGGUCAGCGACUUAUAUUCUGUAGCAAGGUUAACCGUAUAGGGGAGCCGAAGGGAAACCGAGUCUUAACUGGGCGUUAAGUUGCAGGGUAUAGACCCGAAACCCGGUGAUCUAGCCAUGGGCAGGUUGAAGGUUGGGUAACACUAACUGGAGGACCGAACCGACUAAUGUUGAAAAAUUAGCGGAUGACCUGUGGCUGGGGGUGAAAGGCCAAUCAAACCGGGAGAUAGCUGGUUCUCCCCGAAAGCUAUUUAGGUAGCGCCUCGUGAACUCAUCUUCGGGGGUAGAGCACUGUUUCGGCUAGGGGGCCAUCCCGGCUUACCAACCCGAUGCAAACUACGAAUACCGAAGAAUGUUAUCACGGGAGACACACGGCGGGUGCUAACGUCCGUCGUGAAGAGGGAAACAACCCAGACCGCCAGCUAAGGUCCCAAAGUCAUGGUUAAGUGGGAAACGAUGUGGGAAGGCACAGACAGCCAGGAUGUUGGCUUAGAAGCAGCCAUCAUUUAAAGAAAGCGUAAUAGCUCACUGGUCGAGUCGGCCUGCGCGGAAGAUGUAACGGGGCUAAACCAUGCACCGAAGCUGCGGCAGCGACACUAUGUGUUGUUGGGUAGGGGAGCGUUCUGUAAGCCGUUGAAGGUGUGCUGUGAGGCAUGCUGGAGGUAUCAGAAGUGCGAAUGCUGACAUAAGUAACGAUAAAGCGGGUGAAAAGCCCGCUCGCCGGAAGACCAAGGGUUCCUGUCCAACGUUAAUCGGGGCAGGGUGAGUCGACCCCUAAGGCGAGGCCGAAAGGCGUAGUCGAUGGGAAACAGGUUAAUAUUCCUGUACUUGGUGUUACUGCGAAGGGGGGACGGAGAAGGCUAUGUCAGCCGGGCGACGGUUGUCCCGGUUUAAGCAUGUAGGCGGAGGUUCCAGGUAAAUCCGGUACCUUGUUAACGCUGAGGUGUGAUGACGAGGCACUACGGUGCUGAAGUGAUAAAUGCCCUGCUUCCAGGAAAAGCCUCUAAGCAUCAGGUAACACGAAAUCGUACCCCAAACCGACACAGGUGGUCAGGUAGAGAAUACCAAGGCGCUUGAGAGAACUCGGGUGAAGGAACUAGGCAAAAUGGUGCCGUAACUUCGGGAGAAGGCACGCUGAUAGGUAGGUGAAGCCCCUGCGGGCGGAGCUGAAAUCAGUCGAAGAUACCAGCUGGCUGCAACUGUUUAUUAAAAACACAGCACUGUGCAAACACGAAAGUGGACGUAUACGGUGUGACGCCUGCCCGGUGCCGGAAGGUUAAUUGAUGGGGUUAGCGGCAACGCGAAGCUCUUGAUCGAAGCCCCGGUAAACGGCGGCCGUAACUAUAACGGUCCUAAGGUAGCGAAAUUCCUUGUCGGGUAAGUUCCGACCUGCACGAAUGGCGUAAUGAUGGCCAGGCUGUCUCCACCCGAGACUCAGUGAAAUUGAACUCGCUGUGAAGAUGCAGUGUACCCGCGGCAAGACGGAAAGACCCCGUGAACCUUUACUAUAGCUUGACACUGAACACUGGUCCUUGAUGUGUAGGAUAGGUGGGAGGCUUUGAAGCGUGGACGCCAGUCUGCGUGGAGCCAUCCUUGAAAUACCACCCUUUAAUGGCUGGUGUUCUAACGUAGACCCGUGAUCCGGGUUGCGGACAGUGUCUGGUGGGUAGUUUGACUGGGGCGGUCUCCUCCCAAAGAGUAACGGAGGAGCACGAAGGUUGGCUAAUCCUGGUCGGACAUCAGGAGGUUAGUGCAAUGGCAUAAGCCAGCUUGACUGCGAGCGUGACGGCGCGAGCAGGUGCGAAAGCAGGUCAUAGUGAUCCGGUGGUUCUGAAUGGAAGGGCCAUCGCUCAACGGAUAAAAGGUACUCCGGGGAUAACAGGCUGAUACCGCCCAAGAGUUCAUAUCGACGGCGGUGUUUGGCACCUCGAUGUCGGCUCAUCACAUCCUGGGGCUGAAGUAGGUCCCAAGGGUAUGGCUGUUCGCCAUUUAAAGUGGUACGCGAGCUGGGUUUAGAACGUCGUGAGACAGUUCGGUCCCUAUCUGCCGUGGGCGCUGGAGAAUUGAGGGGGGCUGCUCCUAGUACGAGAGGACCGGAGUGGACGCAUCACUGGUGUUCGGGUUGUCAUGCCAAUGGCACUGCCCGGUAGCUAAAUGCGGAAGAGAUAAGUGCUGAAAGCAUCUAAGCACGAAACUUGCCCCGAGAUGAGUUCUCCCUGAGAC
rnacentral:rRNA from 1 species